CGGCGACUCCCUCUCCAAGCUCUCCCCCCUCUCCGACAACACCCACCUCUUCUACGUCGCCCUGGCCCACCGCGGCUCCGAGUCCGGCAACAUCCCCGCCAACUCCUCCAUGUCGAUUUUCUUGAAAGAGUUGGCGAUUACAGGGAUUGAUGAUCGGAGAUAUUGGAAUUAUAUUCCAACUGAGGAAUCUAGUGUUCUAAUGGACAUACUAUAUGCUCCGGCUGCAAACCUAGGGUACACAACUGUUGUCCCGCAUGCAGACAUGAACUUGGCAACAUUAGAUGUCUUGCUCUCGAAAAGAUAGCUGCUUCUCUUGAACUGCCUUGUAAAAUACACAUGGGUAUAUUGGCGGAUAUGAAGAAGGAGAACGAGUACAAAAGAGCUGGUUGGUGUUAUACACAUUUGUUGGUGUAUUUCAUGUUGUAUGGACUUGUCAAUGUAUUUCUUAGUUUAUUUAAUCUUGUAUGGACUUGUUGAUGUAUUGUUAUAUUUGUUGGUUUGUAUGAUGUUGUAUGGACCUAUCAUGUAUUUUGUGAA